UACGUAGGGGGCAAGCGUUAUCCGGAUUUACUGGGUGUAAAGGGAGCGUAGACGGCGAUGCAAGUCUGAAGUGAAAGGCGGGGGCCCAACCCCCGGACUGCUUUGGAAACUGUAUGGCUGGAGUGCAGGAGAGGUGAGUGGAAUUCCUAGUGUAGCGGUGAAAUGCGUAGAUAUUAGGAGGAACACCAGUGGCGAAGGCGGCCUGCUGGACGAUGACUGACGUUGAGGCUCGAAAGCGUGGGGAGCAAACAGG
rnacentral:rRNA from 1 species